AUUGAACGCUGGCGGCAGGCCUAACACAUGCAAGUCGAACGAGUGGCGGACGGGUGAGUAAUGUCUGGGAAACUGCCUGAUGGAGGGGGAUAACUAAUGGAAACGGUAGCUAAUACCGCAUACCAUCGGAUGUGCCCAGAGGGGAUGAGCUAGUAGGUGGGGUAAAGGCUCACCAAGGCGACGAUCCCUAGCUGGUCUGAGAGGCUGACCAGCGACACUGCAACUGAGACACGGUCCAGACUCCUACGGGAGGCAGCAGUGGGGAAUAUUGCACAAUUGGCGCAAGCCGGAUGCAGCCAUGCCGCGUGUAUGAAGAAGGCCUGCGGGUUGUAAAGUACUUUCAGCGGGGAGGCGUUACCCGCAGAAGAAGCACCGGCUAACUCCGUGCCAGCAGCCGCGGUAAUUC
rnacentral:rRNA from 1 species